rnacentral:rRNA from 1 species
GACGACGCUGGCGGCGUGCUUAACACAUGCAAGUCGAGCGAUGAAGCACCUUCGGGUGUGAAUUAGCGGCGAACGGGUGAGGAACACGUGAGAAAUCUGCCUUCAACACUGGGAUAACUCCGGGAAACCGGGGCUAAUACCGGAUAUGAAAUCUGCGGGCAUCCGCGGAUUUGGAAAGUUUUUCGGUUGAAGAUGAUCUCGCGGCCUAUCAGCUUGUUGGUGAGGUAAUGGCUCACCAAGGCGACGACGGGUAGCCGGCCUGAGAGGGCGACCGGCCACACUGGGACUGAGACACGGCCCAGACUCCUACGGGAGGCAGCAGUGGGGAAUAUUGGGCAAUGGAGGAAACUCUGACCCAGCGACGCCGCGUGCGGGAUGAAGGCCUUCGGGUUGUAAACCGCUUUCAGCAGGGAAGAAGCGAAAGUGACGGUACCUGCAGAAGAAGCACCGGCUAACUAUGUG